CUCAGGACGAACGCUGGCGGCGUGCCUAAUACAUGCAAGUAGAACGCUGAAGAGAGGAGCUUGCUCUUCUUGGAUGAGUUGCGAACGGGUGAGUAACGCGUAGGUAACCCGCCUGGUAGCGGGGGAUAACUAUUGGAAACGAUAGCUAAUACCGCAUAAUAGCAGUUAUUGCAUGAUAACUGUUUGAAAGGUGCAAAUGCAUCACUACCAGAUGGACCUGCGUUGUAUUAGCUAGUUGGUGGGGUAACGGCUCACCAAGGCGACGAUACAUAGCCGACCUGAGAGGGUGAUCGGCCACACUGGGACUGAGACACGGCCCAGACUCCUACGGGAGGCAGCAGUAGGGAAUCUUCGGCAAUGGACGGAAGUCUGACCGAGCAACGCCGCGUGAGUGAAGAAGGUUUUCGGAUCGUAAAGCUCUGUUGUAAGAGAAGAACGAGUGUGAGAGUGGAAAGUUCACACAGUGACGGUAUCUUACCAGAAAGGGACGGCUAACUACGUGCCAGCAGCCGCGGUAAUACGUAGGUUCCGAGCGUUGUCCGGAUUUAUUGGGCGUAAAGCGAGCGCAGGCGGUUAGAUAAGUCUGAAGUUAAAGGCUGUGGCUUAACCAUAGUACGCUUUGGAAACUGUUUAACUUGAGUGCAAGAGGGGAGAGUGGAAUUCCAUGUGUAGCGGUGAAAUGCGUAGAUAUAUGGAGGAACACCGGUGGCGAAAGCGGCUCUCUGGCUUGUAACUGACGCUGAGGCUCGAAAGCGUGGGGAGCAAACAGGAUUAGAUA
rnacentral:rRNA from 1 species